rnacentral:rRNA from 1 species
CCUACGGGGGGCAGCAGUGGGGGAUAUUGCACAAUGGAGGAAACUCUGAUGCAGCAACGCCGCGUGAGGGAAGAAGGUCUUCGGAUUGUAAACCUCUGUCCUCAGGGACGAUAAUGUCGGUACCUGAGGAGGAAGCUCCGGCUAACUACGUGCCAGCAGCCGCGGUAAUACGUAGGGAGGAGGCGUUGUCCGGAUUUACUGGGUGUAAAGGGUCCGUAGGCGGCCCUGCAAGACAGGUGUGAAAGCUAUGGGCUUAAAUGAUAGUUUGCAGUUGAAACUGUGGGGCUUGGGUGAAGUAGAGGCAGGCGGAAUUCCCGGUGUAGCGGUGAAAUGCGUGGAGAUCGGGAAGAACACCAGUGGCGAAGGCGGCCUGCUGGGCUUUAACGGACGCUGAGGCACGAAAGCGUGGGUAGCAAACAGGAUUAGAUACCCUUGUAGUC